AACGUAGGACACGAGCGUUAUCCGGAGUUACUGGGCGUAAAGGGCAGGUAGGCGGACAGGCAAGUUGGGUGUGAAAUCUCCCUGGCUUAACCGGGAGGGUGCACUCGAAACUGUCUGACUGGAGGGCGACAGAGGAGCGUGGAAUUCCGGGUGGAGUGGUGAAAUUCGUAGAUAUCGGGAGGAACACCAGUGGCGAAGGCGGCGAUCUGGGAAGAUACUGACGCUGAGGUGCGAAAGCGUGGGGAGCAAACAGG
rnacentral:rRNA from 1 species